UUUAAUAGGAUAAAAUCAAGAACCUCGAAGAAACUAAUAGAAUUCUGGAUGAGACAGCUGAAAAUCUGCAUGUUAUGUUAGAAUCUAAGAGAAGAGAAUGCCAAAAAUCAGGACUUGAUAUCGGAAAACAAGAAGUCUAUAGAGAAGUUAAAGGAUGUUAUUUCACUGAAUGCUUCAGAAUUUUCUGAGAUUGCUCUUAAUGAAGCUAAACUCAGUGAAGAGAAAGUGAGGUCUGAAUGCCUUCGGGUUCAGGAAGAAAAUGCUAAACUUAAGAAGAAGAAAGAGCAGGUAAAGAAAAGUCAACGUCAUAGAUUAUGUAAACUAGAGAACUGAGUAUCAUCAUCUCUUGAGUGUCUUUUCUCACGUCUGUUUUUAAGGAAAUGAAAUAUGUAUGCAGGAUUCUAUUCUUAGGUACGCAAAGUUUAAACCACGCUCCCUAAAUUGCAUGUAUACAUUCUCCAUCUGUUCUGGAUUUCUGCUCUUCUGUACAAUUUCCUGUAGCUAUCAGAGUGUUGUUUAGUAACUUGAAUAGCCUCAAGUGGGCAAUGGAUUUGCUUCUUAGACCAAAGAAUUAGGUCUUUAUGACUCUCCGUUGAGCAGUUAAUGCCUCACUGACCAAGGAAGCAUUACGUGCUCUGGAGUCUGGACUCGGCAGAUAGUGAGACGUGCCCUUCUGUUCCUCCUGGAAGUGGAUUCUUUGAGUAGGCUAUCAUUUUCUGAAGGAUGCAGUAGGCUGGUUCAGCUUCCCUGACAG